AGCUUUGCACAGUGGCAAUAUUGUAGCCAAUGAGGUUUAUCUGAGGUGCAAUUAUUGCUAAUUAAAUAACACUUUCCUGAACAACC
rnacentral:snRNA from 1 species